rnacentral:rRNA from 1 species
UUACGGGAGGCAGCAGUGAGGAAUUUUGCGCAAUGGGGGAAACCCUGACGCAGCAACGCCGCGUGAGUGAUGAAGGCUUUCGGGUCGUAAAGCUCUGUCAGAGGGGAAGAAAUGAUUUGCGGUUAAUACCCGUGAUUCUUGACGGUACCCUCAAAGGAAGCACCGGCUAACUCCGUGCCAGCAGCCGCGGUAAUACGGAGGGUGCAAGCGUUGUUCGGAUUUAUUGGGCGUAAAGCGCGUGUAGGCGGUUUCUUAAGUCUGAUGUGAAAGCCCCGGGCUCAACCCGGGAAGUGCAUUGGAUACUGGGAGACUUGAAUACGGGAGAGGGUAGUGGAAUUCCUAGUGUAGGAGUGAAAUCCGUAGAUAUUAGGAGGAACACCGGUGGCGAAGGCGGCUACCUGGACCGAUAUUGACGCUGAGACGCGAAAGCGUGGGGAGCAAACAGGAUUAGAUACCCCGGU